rnacentral:rRNA from 1 species
UACGUAGGGUGCGAGCGUUGUCCGGAAUUACUGGGCGUAAAGAGCUCGUAGGUGGUUUGUCGCGUUGUUCGUGAAAUCUCACGGCUUAACUGUGAGCGUGCGGGCGAUACGGGCAGACUGGAGUACUGCAGGGGAGACUGGAAUUCCUGGUGUAGCGGUGGAAUGCGCAGAUAUCAGGAGGAACACCAGUGGCGAAGGCGGGUCUCUGGGCCGAUAUUGACGCUGAGGAGCGAAAGCGUGGGGAGCAAACAGG